AUUGAACGCUGGCGGCAGGCCUAACACAUGCAAGUCGAGCGGAUGAGUGGAGCUUGCUCCAUGAUUCAGCGGCGGACGGGUGAGUAAUGCCUAGGAAUCUGCCUGGUAGUGGGGGACAACGUUUCGAAAGGAACGCUAAUACCGCAUACGUCCUACGGGAGAAAGUGGGGGAUCUUCGGACCUCACGCUAUCAGAUGAGCCUAGGUCGGAUUAGCUAGUUGGUGAGGUAAGGGCUCACCAAGGCGACGAUCCGUAACUGGUCUGAGAGGAUGAUCAGUCACACUGGAACUGAGACACGGUCCAGACUCCUACGGGAGGCAGCAGUGGGGAAUAUUGGACAAUGGGCGAAAGCCUGAUCCAGCCAUGCCGCGUGUGUGAAGAAGGUCUUCGGAUUGUAAAGCACUUUAAGUUGGGAGGAAGGGCAGUAAGUUAAUACCUUGCUGUUUUGACGUUACCAACAGAAUAAGCACCGGCUAACUUCGUG
rnacentral:rRNA from 1 species